AGCGCAGGCGGGAAACUAAGCGGAUCUUAAAAGUGCGGGGCUCAACCCCGUGAUGGGGUCCGAACUGGUUUUCUUGAGUGCAGGAGAGGAAAGCGGAAUUCCCAGUGUAGCGGUGAAAUGCGUAGAUAUUGGGAAGAACACCAGUGGCGAAGGCGGCUUACUGGACGGUAACUGACGUUGAGGCUCGAAAGCGUGGGGAGCAAACA
rnacentral:rRNA from 1 species